AAUGGAGCAGAUUUUUCUGGCUACAGCUAAAAGUAGACCUGUUAUCAUGAAAAGAUCAUAAUUAAGUAUAGAAAUUUAUUGAAAUUGUCAUGUAUCUCAAUGGAUAGGAAUCAUGCCAAUGAUAAUAUAAAGCCAAUCUCUUAGAUGCAAUGAUAUAAAAUUGUGUGAAGGGCUGUGUUAGCAUCUCUUUGUCCUUAUCAUCAUCUGGUAAAUAGAAAUGACAUAAUUCCCACUUCUUCUCAUCCAAUAUAGAGUUGAAAGAGGUCGUUAUGGUAAAUAAAAUUAGUAUUGGAGUAAGACAUAAAAGUAAUGAUUCAAAGACUUGGUUAAUAUUAGGCUUUGAAUGUACAUAUCAUACUGAGAAUUUAAUUUGAUCAUGUAACAAAAAAAGUGCUACUGAAUGAACAUUAUUGCAAUGUGGUAAAGAAAAAUGCAGUUUCCCGGUUUCUUCGUCUACCUGCCAGUUCUGUCUGGUAGCAGCUUCCGGUAGGAAAGAGGUGCAGGGCGAGCCGCUGCCAGCUCCUUGUAAUGUCCUACGGUCCCUUAGAUAUGUACUGGAACCCGGGGCCCUCGGACCCCCAGCUCCGGGACUUCAGCAGCAGCAUCCAGACGUGCAGCGGCAACAUCCAGUGGAUCAGCCAAGCCACUGCUCAGAUAAAGAAUGUGAUGAGCCAACUAGGAACUAAGCAGGACUCAAGCAAGCUACAGGAAAAUCUUCAACAGCUACAACACUACACAAAUCAGCUCGCCAAGGAAACAAAUGGAUGCUGAAGGAAUUAGGGUCCUUGCCCCUUCCCUUAUCUACUUCAGAACAGUGCCAGCAGAAACUUCGGAAGGAACGCCUCAUCAAUGGCUUCUCUGCAGCCUUCAACAAUUUCCAGGCUGUGCAGAGAAAGGUAUCUAAAAGGAAAAGGAGAGUAUUGCCAGAGCAAGAGCUGGACCUUGUCUUUCUGCAGAAAAGAGGCAAAGAGAAGAACAGCUAGUCUCAUUUGACAGCCAUGAGGAGUGGAACCAGAUGCAGAGCCAGGAGGAUGAGGUGGCCAUUACUGAGCAGGAUCUGGAACUUAUUAAAAAAAAAGGGAAACGGCAAUUUGGCAGCUGGAGGCUAACAUUUUGGAUGUCAGUCAGAUAUUUAAAGAUUUGGCUGUGAUGAUCCAUGACCAAGGUGAUCUGAUUGAUAGCAUAGAAGCCAAUGUGGAAAGCUCUGAGGUGCAUGUCGAAAGAGCCACUGAUCAGUUACAGCGAGCUGCUUACUAUCAGAAAAAAUCUUGCAAGAAGAUGUGUAUCCCGGUGCUUGUCCUGUCAAUGAUUAUUGUAAUCUUGGGACUUAUUAUCUGGCUAGUUUAUAAAACAAAGUGAUUGCCUCAGAGCCUUCUCCAAUGAGCUGCUUUCCAGGGCAAGUUCUUGUGGGAGUCUUGCCAGAACAAACCGAUCACAAGAAGAGAACAUACACCAGAGCAUCCUGUAGUAAUUUAGUUAGAAACUAACUACUAACUAGUCCUUGGAAUUAGUGACUUAUGGAGACAGUAUUUAUCAAUUUAUUGAUUUUAUUGAUUUCUCAAAUGAGGAAUUAACUUAUGUGAAUUUGCUUUCUCUUGUAUUCUGAUUGCCCUUCAUCCCAAGUGUUUACUGAAAAUUCCAUUCUAGAUAUUCUUGUUUUGACAGGUGACACUACAGUCUCAUAAUAUUGUCUUUUAUGUGUAUAAAAAAUAUACCUUUUUACUUGCAAGUGACAUAGAAUUACUUUCUUGCACCCAGCAUAUUGGAGCCUGUCAGAAACUGGGCCAGCGAUUUUUAUUAUUUAACAUUUUAAU